AGCUGGUCAACGAGGACAGGCUACUACCUACAGUAUAAGAAGACUGUUUAUGAAAAGGCACUUAGAUUGACAGAAUGGAAGUAUAUCUCCUUUCUACUUGGCAGUCCCCUCCUGGCCCCUGUGUAGGAAUGCAAAUGGUUUUGUCUCGGCCGCACGGCGGUGUGUCCGGGAGGCCCGUCGUGUUCAAAGUGACCUGUUUUUUGCUGAACAGCGACAAUGCGGGGACCCUCCCAGUCCCUCUCUCCAGUCAAAUCGACACACCGUAUGACUUCGCCCAGCUGAACUUGCCCCCUCCCCCACUUACGCCCAUCUCCUGUCAUCCUUUGCG